rnacentral:rRNA from 1 species
GCGAGCUGAUGGAGCAACGCCGCGUGAGUGAAGAAGGAUUUCGGUUCGUAAAACUCUGUUGUAAGGGAAGAACAAGUACAGUAGUAACUGGCUGUACCUUGACGGUACCUUAUUAGAAAGCCACGGCUAACUACGUGCCAGCAGCCGCGGUAAUACGUAGGUGGCAAGCGUUGUCCGGAAUUAUUGGGCGUAAAGCGCGCGCAGGUGGUUUCUUAAGUCUGAUGUGAAAGCCCACGGCUCAACCGUGGAGGGUCAUUGGAAACUGGGAGACUUGAGUGCAGAAGAGGAUAGUGGAAUUCCAAGUGUAGCGGUGAAAUGCGUAGAGAUUUGGAGGAACACCAGUGGCGAAGGCGACUAUCUGGUCUGUAACUGACACUGAUCCGCGAAAGCGUGGGGAGCAAACAGGAUUAGAUACCCUGGU